rnacentral:rRNA from 1 species
ACGAACGCUGGCGGCACGCCUAACACAUGCAAGUCGAACGCUCGGUAGCAAUACCGGGAGUGGCGGACGGGUGAGUAACGCGUGGGAACCUGCCCAGUGGUGCGGGACAACUUCGGGAAACCGGAGCUAAUACCGCAUGAUCCGGCUAGCAAUAGCCGGUAAAGAUUUAUCGCCUUUGGAGGGGCCCGCGUCGGAUUAGGUAGUUGGUGGGGUAACGGCCUACCAAGCCUGCGAUCCGUAGCUGGUCUGAGAGGAUGGCCAGCCACACUGGGACUGAGACACGGCCCAGACUCCUACGGGAGGCAGCAGUGGGGAAUCUUGGACAAUGGGGGCAACCCUGAUCCAGCGAUGCCGCGUGGGUGAUGAAGGCCUUCGGGUUGUAAAGCCCUUUCGGCGGGGACGAUAGUGACGGUACCCGCAGAAGAAGCCUCGGCUAACUCCGU